rnacentral:rRNA from 1 species
GAUUCCCCUAGUAACUGCGAGUGAAGCGGGAAAAGCUCAAAUUUAAAAUCUGGCAGCUUUGGUUGCCCGAGUUGUAGUCUGGAGAAGCGUUUUCUGUGCUGGACCGUGUACAAGUCUCUUGGAACAGAGCGUCAUAGAGGGUGAGAAUCCCGUCUUUGAUACGGACUGCCAGUGCUUUGUGAUGCGCUCUCAAAGAGUCGAGUUGUUUGGGAAUGCAGCUCAAAAUGGGUGGUAAAUUCCAUCUAAAGCUAAAUAUUGGCGAGAGACCGAUAGCGAACAAGUACCGUGAGGGAAAGAUGAAAAGCACUUUGGAAAGAGAGUUAAACAGUACGUGAAAUUGCUGAAAGGGAAACGCUUGAAGUCAGUCGCGUUGUCCAGAACUCAGCCUGGCUUUUGCCUGGUGCAUUUUCUGGUUAACGGGCCAGCAUCAAUUUUGACCGCUGGAUAAAGGCCUUGGGAAUGUGGCUCUCUCGGGAGUGUUAUAGCCCAUGGUUGCAUACAGCGGUUGGGAUUGAGGAUCUCAGCAUGCCUUUAUGGUCGGGGUUCGCCCACGUUCAUGCUUAGGAUGCUGGC